rnacentral:rRNA from 1 species
UACAGAGACCUCAAGCGUUAUCCGGAAUUAUUGGGCGUAAAGCGUACCGACAGGUGGUUUAUUAAGUCUUGGGUAAAAGCCGGAAGCUCAACUUCCGCGUUUGCUUAAGAUACUAAUAGACUAGAGGGGCAAAGAGGUGAUUGGAACGAACGGUGUAGUAGUGAAAUGCGUUGAUAUCAAGAGGAACACUCGUGGCGAAGGCGAGCUACUGGACAACAUCUGACGCUGAGGCUCGAAGGCUAGGGGAGCAAAAGGG